rnacentral:rRNA from 1 species
AUUGAACGCUGGCGGCAUGCCUUACACAUGCAAGUCGAACGGCAGCGGGGGAGAAGCUUGCUUUUCCUGCCGGCGAGUGGCGAACGGGUGAGUAAUACAUCGGAACGUGCCCUGUAGUGGGGGAUAACUAGUCGAAAGAUUAGCUAAUAGCGCAUACGACCUGAGGGUGAAAGUGGGGGACCGCAAGGCGUCAUGCUAGAGGAGCGGCCGAUGUCUGAUUAGCUAGUUGGUGGGGUAAAGGCCUACCAAGGCGACGAUCAGUAGCUGGUCUGAGAGGACGAUCAGCCACACUGGGACUGAGACACGGCCCAGACUCCUACGGGAGGCAGCAGUGGGGAAUUUUGGACAAUGGGCGAAAGCCUGAUCCAGCAAUGCCGCGUGUGUGAAGAAGGCCUUCGGGUUGUAAAGCACUUUUGUCCGGAAAGAAAUGGCUCUGGUUAAUACCUGGGGUCGAUGACGGUACCGGAAGAAUAAGGACCGGCUAACUACGUGCCAGCCGCCGCCGUAA